GCUGUCAAGAGUCAGACGCCAAUUAGCGAACAAAAAUAGAGUUUAUUCAGCAGAUAAGCCAAAAAGUAAUGUUAACACAGAAAAAACCUUGAAACACUUCACUAUCAGUGCUUCAAGAGCAGUUCAAACAAAAAUAUAAUUCAGCAACAAAAGCAGGUAAAAACAAAGCUAAACAAACUUAGUGCAAACUGCACUUUCUGAGUCCAAGCCCUGCCAGCCGGCUCUGUAGUUUUCAAAGGAACAGUUCCCAAAAGAAAACACCAAAUUGGUCAGGAAACAAACAAACAAACUAAGAAUGCAGUAGACUGCUUCCACAAUGUGGAUAAAGCCGAAGGCUCCAAAAGGAUGGUGCAAAGACGUCGUCCGGGAUUCCAAGGUCAGGUCAGGAGAUAACAGCGGUGUCCAAAGAGCAAGCCAGGAGUCAAAAGCCGAUAGUAGUCAUCAAUCACAGGGCGAAGGCAGUAGCAAGGUCAAAUUCCGAUCCAAGGUCUGAAGAGGGUGCAGUCAUCCAAAACAGGUCCAUGAUAAGACACAGCGAGAGCCAAGCUAGGUGAUAACAGCAGAUGCAAAUCAUAGUCCAAGUCCAGUCUUCAUGGAAACACAGAGAUCCCAAUGGCGCCUCAGCAACACCUUGCCACACGCAAAGUGUUGCUGAGGCGCCAUUGGGAUCUCUGUGUUUCCAUGAAGACUGGAUUUGGACUAUGAUUUGAAUCUGCUGUUAUCACCUAGCUUGGCUCUCGCUGUGUCUUAUCGUGGACCUGUUUUGGAUGACUGCACCCUCUUCAGACCUUGGACCGGAAUUUGACCUUGCUACUGCCUUCGCCCUGUGAUUGAUGACUACUAUCGGCUUUUGACUCCUGGCUUGCUCUUUGGACACCGCUGUUAUCUCCUGACCUGACCUUGGAAUCCCGGACGACGUCUUUGCACCAUCCUUUUGGAGCCUUCGGCUUUAUCCACAUUGUGGAAGCAGUCUACUGCAUUCUUAGUUUGUUUGUUUGUUUCCUGACCAAUUUGGUGUUUUCUUUUGGGAACUGUUCCUUUGAAAACUACAGAGCCAGCUGGCAGGGCUUGGACUCAGAAAGUGAAGUUUGCACUAAGUUUGUUUAGCUUUGUUUUUACCUGCUUGUGUUGCUGAAUUAUAUUUUUGUUUGAACUGCUCUUGAAGCACUGAUAGUGAAGUGUUUCAAGGUUUUUUCUGUGUUAACAUUACUUUUUGGCUUAUCUGCUGAAUAAACUCUAUUUUUGUUCGCUAA